UACGGAAGGUGCAAGCGUUAAUCGGAAUUACUGGGCGUAAAGCGCGCGUAGGCGGCUUGGUAAGUCAGGUGUGAAAGCCCCGGGCUCAACCUGGGAACUGCCCUCGAUACUGCCAAGCUGGAGUACGAGAGAGGGGAGUGGAAUUCCAGGUGUAGCGGUGAAAUGCGUAGAUAUCGGGAAGAACACCAGUGGCGAAGGCGGCUCCCUGGAUCCAUACUGACGCUGAGGCGCGAAAGCGUGGGGAGCUAACAGG
rnacentral:rRNA from 1 species